UAGAAAUACGUGGCAUACGGCUCAGUAACACGUAGUCAACAUGCCCAGGGGACGUGGAUAACCUCGGGAAACUGAGGAUAAACCGCGAUAGGCCAUGAUUUCUGGAAUGGUUCAUGGCCGAAAUCUAUAUGGCCCCUGGAUUGGACUGCGGCCGAUCAGGCUGUUGGUGAGGUAAUGGCCCACCAAACCUGUAACCGGUACGGGCUCUGAGAGGAGGAGCCCGGAGAUGGGCACUGAGACAAGGGCCCAGGCCCUAUGGGGCGCAGCAGGCGCGAAAUCUCUGCAAUAGGCGAAAGCUUGACAGGGUUACUCUGAGUGGUUCCCGUUAAGGGGAUCUUUUGGCACCUUUAAAAAUGGUGCAGAAUAAGGGGUGGGCAAGUCUGGUGUCAGCCGCCGCGGUAAUACCAGCACCCCGAGUGGUCGGGACGAUUAUUGGGCCUAAAGCAUCCGUAGCCGGUACUGCAAGUCUUCCGUUAAAUCCACCUGCUUAACAGUUGGGCUGCGGGGGAUACUACAGCGCUAGGAGGCGGGAGAGGCAAGCGGUACUCAAUGGGUAGGGGUAAAAUCCGCUGAUCCAUUGAAGACCACCAGUGGCGAAGGCGGCUUGCCAGAACGCGCUCGACGGUGAGGGAUGAAAGCUGGGGGAGCAAACCGGAUUAGAUACCCGGGUAGUCCCAGCUGUAAAC
rnacentral:rRNA from 1 species